GGUGGCUCAGUGGUAGAGCGCUUGCUUCGCAUGCAUGAGGCCCCGGGUUCGAUUCCUCAGCACCA
rnacentral:tRNA from 1 species